ACUAUGCACUGUACCAGCAAUAUUCAGUCUUGAACCCAAACACAGAAAAACAAAUGGAUCUUCUUUGUCUACCAGAAAAGGAGAUUUUAGAUGCAGUAAGAGCACACAACCACUUCUUACUGCCUGCAAUUGCACUGUGCUCUGUAAACUGAAUCCAUUUGUCCCAUCCUGUCACCACAGUGCCAGGGCAAGCAGAGAAUCCGGAACCUGAGGAGCAUAGUUACAAGAGAGGGUCCCCCAAGGACAUGGGAGCAAUACUGAGCUAUGAGAAAAAGAG